rnacentral:rRNA from 1 species
UACGUAGGGUGCGAGCGUUAAUCGGAAUUACUGGGCGUAAAGCGUGCGCAGGCGGUUCGUCGUGUCCGAUGUGAAAGCCCCGGGCUCAACCUGGGAAUGGCAUUGGAAACUGGCGGGCUUGAGUAUGAAAGAGGGACGCGGAAUUCCCGGUGUAGAGGUGAAAUUCGUAGAUAUCAGGAGGAACACCAGUGGCGAAGGCGGCGACCUGGGCCAAUACUGACGCUGAGGUGCGAAAGCGUGGGGAGCAAACAGG